UACGAAGGGGGCUAGCGUUGUUCGGAAUUACUGGGCGUAAAGCGCGCGCAGGCGGUUCUCCAAGUCAGUGGUGAAAGCCCGGAGCUCAACUCCGGAACGGCCAUUGAAACUGUUGAACUCGAGGACGAGAGAGGUGAGUGGAAUUCCCAGUGUAGAGGUGAAAUUCGUAGAUAUUGGGAAGAACACCGGUGGCGAAGGCGGCUCACUGGCUCGUUUCUGACGCUCAGGCGCGACAGCGUGGGGAUCAAACAGG
rnacentral:rRNA from 1 species